rnacentral:rRNA from 1 species
UCCAGACUCCUACGGGAGGCAGCAGUGGGGAAUAUUGGACAAUGGGGGGAACCCUGAUCCAGCGACGCCGCGUGAGUGAAGAAGUAUUUCGGUAUGUAAAGCUCUAUCAGCAGGGAAGAAAGAAAUGACGGUACCUGACUAAGAGGCCCCGGCUAACUACGUGCCAGCAGCCGCGGUAAUACGUAGGGGGCAAGCGUUAUCCGGAUUUACUGGGUGUAAAGGGAGCGUAGACGGCGAUGCAAGUCUGAAGUGAAAGGCGGGGGCCCAACCCCCGGACUGCUUUGGAAACUGUAUGGCUAGAGUGCAGGAGAGGUAAGUGGAAUUCCUAGUGUAGCGGUGAAAUGCGUAGAUAUUAGGAGGAACACCAGUGGCGAAGGCGGCUUACUGGACUGUAACUGACGUUGAGGCUCGAAAGCGUGGGGAGCAAACAGGAUUAGAUACCCUAGUA